UUUGCUACCACAGCAGUUCCAGCCGAGGAGUUGCAUCCAAACAAAGGGAUUUCUUCCAGGCUGUAAUUCAUGACUUUUCAAUCGGACCUUGUCACUUAUUUUUGGAUAUGUGUGCUGAUUCAGUCAGAAAAAUGAGGAAGAGAGAAGAGGGAGUGAUUUGAGUGGUUGCCUCAUGUUGUAACCAGGAUGGUAACUAUUCAUCACUAGGCAGCUUCACUGGCUGCUCACACUUACUGAUUUGAAAAAGAGAGGAAUGUCCUUCAAACAUCUUCACCUGGGUUCUAACUUAAGUGUGAGGAUCUGAGAAGUUUCCCAUGGAUGAUCAUACAAUGAAAG